rfam:Beta vulgaris subsp. vulgaris Bvchr6.sca005.con0070.1, whole genome shotgun sequence.
UCUCUGUGAUGAUUCAAAUUUGAUGACGAGUCCGACUCCAUUCUUAAAAUCGUGACGACAAAACGAGGCAUUUGUCUGAGAGAA